rnacentral:rRNA from 1 species
AGGACGAACGCUGGCGGCGUGCCUAACACAUGCAAGUCGAACGGGGGUAGCAAUACCCCAGUGGCGAACGGGUGCGUAACACGUGAGGAAUCUGUCCAUCGGCGGGGGGAUAGCCGGCCCAACGGCCGGGUAAUACCGCGUACGUCGGCGAGAGCGCAUGCUCAUGCCGGGAAAGCAGCAAUGCACCGAUGGAGGAUCUCGCGGCCUAUCAGCUUGUGGUGAGGUAACGGCUCACCAAGGCGACGACGGGUAGCUGGUCUGAGAGGAUGAUCAGCCACAUUGGGACUGAGACACGGCCCAGACUCCUACGGGAGGCAGCAGUGGGGAAUAUUGCGCAAUGGGGGAAACCCUGACGCAGCGACGCCGCGUGUGGGAUGACGGGCCUUCGGUUGUAAACCACUGUCGCGAGGACGAAGAUCUGACGGUACCGUACGAAAGGAAGACGACCGCGUAACUCUGUGCCAGCAGCCGAC